GGGUGUCCUAAGAUGAGGAUAGCAGGGCGUCUGCUCCAGGGACCCCCCCGCACGGAGGUGGCUGUGUCGGCAACAGUGGUGUCACAGUAGAUGCAGUCUGACCUGAGCCACGAAGAAGUGCAGAGUCCCCAAGAGGCCAGAGAGCUCACGUCUGGUUAGAGUCAGGGUGUUUGAUGGGAAGAUGAAAGGAGGAGCUGGCAUCUGAGGAAAUCAACAUUCAAGGGGAGACCCAAUGAAGAAGAUAGUGCCAGAACUUAAUGGAGGCAGCCCAAGAGGAACGUGUACCUGGGGAAGUCAAGAGCUAUUUCUUGGACAUUUGUGCUUCUAUUCCAAACUCUUCUCUCAGAGUAGAUGACAACUCAGGAAGGAGCCAGAGAUCUUCCUCAGUUGACUUGUUCAGAAAUAUGAUUUGGGAUUCAGUCUGGCCCGAAGCCAUGCUUCCAGCCUCAUCUCCACUGUGCACUUUCCAUGGCGUUCUGUCUUGGUCCACUUGGCUUGUGUAGCUGCCUGGCCUGGGUUGUCCUCCCCACCCUUGUCUGCUUGGUGGCACUUGGCCCUGUUCUAAUUGCUUCUGCUCGGGCAGCUUCUCUCCUCCCUCCUCUGUGCUCUGAGGACACUGGACAGAUUCCUGUUAGAGCUGUCACUGUCUUCCUGCUGUCUGCCCACUGACCUUGGAGCUCCAGGAGGACAGGAGCCUUAUCUUACCCCACGACAUGGCUUAUGCCCAGCCUGGUGCCAAAGUCUGGAGGUAUCUGUAGGCUGAAUGAAAUUCUUCCCUCUGGGAUGCCCUUUAAAGUUGUUUUCUUUCUGGAACCUGGGGCAGUGACUGGAAUGGUUGGAAUGUGGCCUUGGUUUGCCAUUGGGUGUUUUGUUCCUCCGAGCAUUGGCUGGACUCUCUGGUGAUUUCUGGUCUUGGAGGACUUCCUGUUUUAAAUGUCCGUGGGGUUGUGGUUCCCGAGCUGCUGCACUGUCUCCCAUAACCUUUCUCUCUAUCCUGGCCUGGUCUCUCUUCCACACCAGAACUUUCCUCUAGAUCAAUGGUCCAGGACCAUCAGAACCAGUGAACCACACUCCUGACCAUUCUCCAAAUAGUCAUUUGGCCAAAUACGAGGUACGUGGCAGCUCUUUCUUUUCUGGACCCCAAUUCACCUCUGAGCAGCUUCCUUCUCCCAGGAGCUGAAGCUCCCCCACGAUGUCUCAAUGCCAGGCAGAUGCGUUUGACCUUCUGCCUCUUGGGGCCCUCACCAAGCUAAGGGAUUUUUAAUCAUUCAACUAAUGUAUUACAGUGGGAAAGACACCCCACUAAGGGGCUUCACUAAAUAUCCUUUCCAGUUGAUAAGAUCAUUUUUUUUUAAUCCAUCUACAGACUCUUGAGUUUUAAACCCCAUGAGUUAUUUACCAUACACUUGUAUCCCCUACAGUGAUUUUUAAAGUGCCAUGGCUGUUUCUCCACUGGCUGUGGAGUGAGCUGAUGUUACUGCAGGUUGAGGUUGAGCCACUUUGCUUCACCGACGGUUCCAGGAGUCCUUUUGGGCACUGACUGUGGGUCCGGUCCUGAGCUGAGUGCACAGAGGGGAGGUUGAGGGAGUCAACACAACUCAGAGGUGUCCUUGUUCUCCAGGGGCUCUAGGUUCUGACCUGCACCCAACCACAAGCUGACUUGAGUCAAAAAGUCACAAAGUGUGACUUGGGGUUUUCUAUCCCAGGAUCUUGGCCAGAGCUUCAUUUGGAAGCCCCAGAGACCUGGACCAGACUUGCAGGUAGACAUUCACCAAUGUGUGAUUUGAGGGCUGCUCAAAGGGACCUCCCCACUUCCCACAUGGAGCACUGUCGGGAUUAGCCAUCACCAGAAACUCCUUUCCCACAGGACAGAGCCCAGACAACUCAUUCUGUCUUCAAAAGCCACCACUGUCUGGCACCAACCCACUUUUCCAACCUCCACCUCCUGCGACUUCAGCCACAUGGAACAAGCAUGGACUGAUGUUCUCUAUACCUUUCCAACUCCAGCUCUUGGCUUCUGCGGUUUUCUCUGCCAAUGAGGCUGUGCUGUCUAUUACUGAGUAACAAUAUUACCAUACACUUAGCACCUUUAAACAAUACACACUUAUUAUCUCAUAAUUUCUGUGGGUCAAGAAUUCAGGUGUGGCUUAGCUGGGUCCUCUGAAAGGCUGCAAUGAAGAUGUCAGCCAGGACUGUGGUCUCAAUCCAAGCUUCAGCUAGAGAAGGAUCUGCUUCCCAACUUCGCAUAUGUUGGUAAGAUUCAGGCUCUUGCAAGUGAUCGGACCAAGGCCCCCAGUUUGUUGUUGGCUGUUGGCUGGAGGCUGCCCUCAGUUUCUAGCUGGUUGUGGGCAGUUGCCUUGAGUUCCUUGCCACAUGAGCCUCCUCACCAUGAAUGCUUGCUUCUUCAAAGCCGGUGAGAGAGAGACUCUUCUAAUAAGAUGGACUUUACAAGCUCACAUUAUGUAAUCACAGAAGCAACACCUGUCACCUUUGUUAUACUUUAUUGCUUAGCAUCAAGUCACAAUUCCUGCUGAUACUCAAAAGGUAGGGAUUACAUCAGGGCGUGGGCACCAAGAGGUGGGGAUCAUGGGGCCACUUUAGCCUCUGUCUCCACCCAUCUCCUUCUCCCAACCUCCCUGUCCACUCUAGAAAUAGCAACCUAGUAAAAUUCAUGAAAGCUUCCCUUAGUCACCUCAACCACAGGGCUUUGCUUACAUCAUUCUUCAGUACUUCAUUCAUUUAUUCAACAAAAGACAUAUUGAGCAUCUGCCGUAUGCCUGGAGCUAGAGGUAGUAUAGUAUAAUGGUUAAGGCUUCAAGUUCUGGAAUCAGAGUCUCUUGUUCCAAAUCCUGGGUCUCCACUUCAUGCUGGGUCUCAAUAAACUCAUCUCU